rnacentral:rRNA from 1 species
AGCGAACGCUGGCGGCAGGCCUAACACAUGCAAGUCGAACGAAGUCUUCGGACUUAGUGGCGGACGGGUGAGUAACACGUGGGAACGUGCCUUUAGGUUCGGAAUAACUCAGGGAAACUUGUGCUAAUACCGAAUGUGCCCUUCGGGGGAAAGAUUUAUCGCCUUUAGAGCGGCCCGCUUCUGAUUAGCUAGUUGGUGAGGUAAAGGCUCACCAAGGCUACGAUAAGUAGCUGGUCUGAGAGGAUGACCAGCCACAUUGGGACUGAGACACGGCCCAAACUCCUACGGGAGGCAGCAGUGGGGAAUCUUGCGCAAUGGGCGAAAGCCUGACGCAGCCAUGCCGCGUGGAUGAUGAAGGUCUUAGGAUUGUAAAAUCCUUUCACCGGUGAAGAUAAUGACUGUAGCCGGAGAAGAAGCCCCGGCUAACUUCGUGCCAGCAGCCGCAGUAACAC